AAACCUUUAUUCGUAAAAGGUAGUGGUUUUCAUUGUGUAUUUAUUAAUAUUAUAUUGCUACAUACUACUGGAGUUUCAACUCGUUAUUAUUUUCAAAUUUUCACUUCACUGUUACAAUGGAAAUAUCACUUAUUUGAUAAUAUUUUGCUGAUUUCGAUAUUUAUCAGUAUGUCUCAGUGGGAGUGAGCGUUGAAAAAGUCAGCGGCACUUUCAAAACUAAAAGUCACAAAAAUGGCGACCGUGACAUUGACACUAUAUAAUGCGGAAAAAGAUAUUUUAGUAGAUGUGGAUGUUUCUGCAGCAGAUGCUCAACGUGCAUCUACAGAUAUAUAUAAUUAUAUGAAAAAAUUCUAAAAAAGUUAAUUACAGCUUAUAAUGAAUACAAAUAUAUUCAUUUUUCCUUAAUUCCCAAUAACAUAACCUAUCUUUAUGAAUGAAAACUAAAUGCAGAAUUUGCGACACGACUUUUGAAUAAAGCUUUAAACGAACAACCACAAGCAUCAACGUCUGUUGAUCUUACUGAUGAAAAUCUUCAAUUUUCUGAGGCUGACACAGAUCAAUUUAUUGAUCAAGAAUUCCUCACUACAGAAGAUACUGUUUAUUCCAACUCUGAAACUCAAGAAAGCGAAGCUUCUUUGUAUAGGUGGAGCACGCCUUGUGUUUUGUUAUUAUUAGAGUCUUAUAGAGCAUUGGAAAAAGAUUUUUAUAGUGGAAAAAUAUCCCAAAAGAAAAUUUGGGAAAAAGUUGCCAAAGAAUUGAAGGUAAAAGGACAUGAUGUAACUGGACCACAAUGUUCUUCAAAGCUACGAAGCUUAAAAAAAACUUACAAAUCUAUUAAAGAUCAUAAUAAUAAAUCAGGAAAUGACAGAAGGACUUGGCAGUUUUUUGAUAAUCAAAGAAGACACCAGUUGCCACUUUAUUAGGAAAAAGACUGAAGCAAAAAGAAGAACACGAAGCACAGAAAAAUAAAAGACACAAAGAGCGAAUGGAAAUGGAUGAAAAAUUUCUCAACGUUCUAGAAAAAUUAGCUAUAAAUAAGUUUCAAUAUUUUUAAAUUUUAUUGAAAAAAAAAAAUUUUAAAGCAUUAAAUUAUACGUACAAACUAGAUUAUAUCCUUUGUACU
rnacentral:misc_RNA from 1 species